UCCGAGGGGUAUAAAAGACAUGGCUGGACCAAGAGAAAAGCAUCUCAGAGAAGGAUUGCAGAAAGGAAGCUAGGAGUUCCUCAACUCACCUUUGGUUCACAUCUCAGCACUUGCUCCUCCGCAAGAAAAACAAACGCAAUGGACCCCGCAGGAUCCGCAGACGGAAAGAAGGGACCCCCCAAGUUCAAGCAGAGGGCGGCCCGCACCUUCAAGAGCAAGGCCCCCAAGCCUGGCCAGAAAGGGUUUGGUGAUGACAUUCCUGGAAUGGAGGGCCUAGGCACAGGUAAGGACACAGUUG